GUCAGACUUUAGUUACGAGAGAUUAUUAGCAAUCUAACGCGCCAGCAGCAUUAUCUGUGGUGAAAUCCUCCAAUAAAUACCACUCUCUGUGUGUCUUAAAAGCGAAACAUUACUGCUAAACAGGGAUUAGAGACCCCUUUAUACAAAUGCUCAUUAUAAAUUGCAGGGUACUACAACUGUAAGAGUUAAAACUUAAACAACAUGGCGGUAAUUUUAAUUUAGGGGAACUUACUUAGUAAUUGAUAACCACCAAGGUCAAAUAACUUCGACAAACUCUUGUAUGCCGUCGUCGUCAGGUAGCACUCGAUGUUCUACCUUAAUAGUAUACCUAAAAAGACAGAUCAAGGUGCAGACAAUGUUGGAGAUGUAGCGAGUUACAAUUUUGAUUAUUAACAGAAAAACCUAUGUAAAUAGUAUUGAAGGCGGACUUAACAGUAAUAAAUACAAUUAAUAUUUUAUGAAACCUUUAAAAUUGUGCACAA
rnacentral:rRNA from 1 species